UACGGAGGGUGCAAGCGUUGUCCGGAAUUAUUGGGCGUAAAGAGCUCGUAGGCGGUCUGUUGCGUCUGCUGUGAAAACCCGGGGCUUAACCCCUGGCUUGCAGUGGAUACGGACAGACUAGAGGUAGGUAGGGGAGAAUGGAAUUCCCGGUGUAGCGGUGAAAUGCGCAGAUAUCGGGAGGAACACCGGUGGCGAAGGCGGUUCUCUGGGCCUUACCUGACGCUGAGGAGCGAAAGCGUGGGGAGCGAACAGG
rnacentral:rRNA from 1 species